AAUGAACGCUGGCGGCGCGCCUAAUACAUGCAAGUCGAGCGAGAAGACGUAGCAAUACGUUUGUAAAGCGGCGAACGGGUGAGGAAUACAUGGGUAACCUACCCUAGAGUGGGGAAUAACUAGCCGAAAGGUUAGCUAAUACCGCGUACGCUCCUUGGACUUCGGUUCAGGGAGGAAAGCGAUGCCGAGGGUAUCGCGCUCUUGGAUGGGCUCAUGUCCUAUCAGCUUGUUGGGAGGUAACGGCUCACCAAGGCUUCGACGGGUAGCUGGUCUGAGAGGACGAUCAGCCACACUGGCACUGCGACACGGGCCAGACUCCUACGGGAGGCAGCAGUAAGGAAUAUUGCGCAAUGGGCGAAAGCCUGACGCAGCGACGCCGCGUGGGGGAG
rnacentral:rRNA from 1 species